GUGUCAGCCGCCGCGGUAACACGUAGGGUGCGAGCGUUGUCCGGAAUUAUUGGGCGUAAAGAGCUCGUAGGCGGUCCGUCACGUCGGAUGUGAAAUUCCAGGGCUCAACCCUGGACCUGCAUUCGAUACGGGCGGACUAGAGUUCGGUAGGGGAGACUGGAAUUCCUGGUGUAGCGGUGAAAUGCGCAGAUAUCAGGAGGAACACCGGUGGCGAAGGCGGGUCUCUGGGCCGAUACUGACGCUGAGGAGCGAAAGCGUGGGGAGCGAACAGGAUUAGAUACCCCCGUAGUCC
rnacentral:rRNA from 1 species